rnacentral:rRNA from 1 species
GACAGAGGUGCCGAGCGUUAGGCGGAAUCACUGGGCUUAAAGCGUGUGUAGGCGGGUCGUUAAGUGUCUUGUGAAAUCCCACCGGCUCAACGGUGGAACUGCUGGGCAUACGUGGCGAUCUUGAGCCACCUAGGGGCAGACGGAACAAGCGGUGGAGCGGUGAAAUGCGUAGAUAUCGCUUGGAACGCCGACGGUGAAAACAGUCUGCUGGGGUGUGCUGACGCUGGAGACGCGAAAGCGUGGGGAGCGAACAGG